rnacentral:rRNA from 1 species
UCCAGCAGUCCAGAAUAUUAGUCAAUGCUCGAAAGAGUGAACUAGCUAACUGAAAUCAAUAAAAUAAUUGAUAACAUAAGGGAAAAUAAUGAUAUUACCUUAUUAUAAGUGUCGUCCAAAACUGGUGCCAGAAGACUCGGUAAGGCCAGAGACACAAACGUUAAUCGUCUUAAUCAGGCGUAAAGGGUUUGUAGGCGGCUUUAAAAUUUACUUAUGUCAAAAAAAAUAAUAAGUAAAAAAUAAAAGCUAGAAUCAAAUAGAGGAUAUAUGAAAGAAUGCUUAGAGUAGGUCUGAUAUCCUUAGAUACUAAGUAGAAUAUUAAAGGCGAAAGCUUUUUUCCAUUAAUGAUUGACGCUCAGAAACGAAGGUGAGGAUAGGAAAUAGGAUUAGAUACCCAGAAUACCCCUCUCUGUCAACGAUGAAUGGUAGUUAUUAGUAAAAUAUAUUAAUGGCAAUGUUAACACGAUAACCAUUCCGCCUUGUGAGUACAACUGCAAAGUUGAAAACAAAAAAAUUAGUCGGUUUCGGAGCAAACGAAGUGAAGCAUGUUAUUUAAUUCGAUAAUCCGC